CGAGGCGGCGGCCGCCGCAGCCGGAGGCGGAUUCCUCAGGUGCUGCCCCUCCCGCCGGCCCUGGCCUCCGCGGCUGGGACCCCCGUGCCCCCUCCCCCCGCCCGGCCUCUCGCCUUCCCGCUGCCUCGGCGCCCGCGAGUGGCUUUUGGGGGUCCCUCGCCCUCUGUGAGAGUGGUGGGCGCGCAUUUCUUCCCCACCCCCUCCAACGACGCCCCCCGCCCAGGUUGUGGAGCCCUCGGUGCGCGGUCCUCACGCCUCCAUUCCCAAACCCCGCCGCACUGACGAACGUGCGGUCCCUGUGGAGUGCGGAGGCGGGAGUGUACAGGGGGUUGUGCGGGGUGGGGGGGUCUUCUGUGAAAGAGGGCUGCACCCCAGUGUGCUGACGCGCGAAGUCAGGAGGAAAUUAUUGCCCCCGGAGCCCGCGUUCAUUCAGCGUGCUCUCGCCUCUGCGCGAUUGCUUUCUCUGUUCACUGGACGGCGGCUGAAGAGCCCCAAGCGUGAACUCGGCCUGGGCAGUGGUGGCUCGGAAACCCUUGGCCUUUUGCAUAAAGCGGGUAGGGUGGGGGCAGGGAGCGGACAAAACCAAACAAACCCGGGAGCUCUGGCCCAAGCCGACUUUUGCACCUCCUGUAGCACGCCCUGCGGCCCCGGGCCCCUGCUCGUCGGGAGCCUCCCGGGACCACGGGGUAGGCUCCACCCCAGGGCAGCGGCGUCCAGCUGGCCCUGGGCCUUGACUACGGGGAAAAUGUUCUCGAGAGAUGCUACGUCCCGGUAGAGAGAUUUCGCUCCACUUUUCACAGCUGGCGACUUUUGUUAUUAAAGAUGCAGCUCCAUUUUUUAAAUUAAUUGUUGCCACAGAUAGGCGACUACACCUCUGGAAGCAGCAGCUCCAUGCUAGAUGUGGUGGAAGAAUCUAGAGGGAAUGGACUGGAAAUUUGGAAUCACCAGAAAAUAACUCAAGGCAUCGCUAAGCUGUGACUAACAAGAUAAAUGAUUUGUUCGAGGUUUGUCCUUUCCCUCCUCCAGUCGGAAGACAUAGCUGUCUUUUUUUUUCAAUCAUGUUUUGUACCUUAUGGGGUUAAGGAGCUGAAAUAUUUUUAAUUUACAAUUGAAUCCCUGUUGUUGGGCCUUUAAAAACACAUAGAAACAUUGUUAAGUGCCACAAGGGUGGGAAACAUGGCUUUCUCAGUCAUUGCUGUACUCUCACAAUUCUGGGUCAUGCACCCAAUACAGGUUUAGUAAAUAAAAUCCGUAUGUUUUUGGCCCCA